UACGUAGGGCGCGAGCGUUGUCCGGAAUUAUUGGGCGUAAAGAGCGUGUAGGCGGCCAGAUAAGUCCGCUGUGAAAUCUCGAGGCUCAACUUCGAGCUGUCGGUGGAAACUAUCUGGCUAGAGUCCGGAAGAGGAGAAUGGAAUUCCUGGUGUAGCGGUGAAAUGCGCAGAUAUCAGGAGGAACACCGGUGGCGAAGGCGGGUCUCUGGGCCGAUACUGACGCUGAGGAGCGAAAGCGUGGGGAGCGAACAGG
rnacentral:rRNA from 1 species